ACACUAAUGUCAAGGUCAUAAGGUCAAAACAUUUGACCCGGCCUUCAAUUUUACCUGCAUGAAUCUCACUGUGAAUAGGACACGUCGACUUGAGAUCACUUUGAAAACCCGUUUUUCCUAUUAGCCUCUUAAUAUGCUGAAUCGAAUCCCUAAAUGAACAUAAUUUGUUGGUGACCUCCAAACUGACAGAGAUAUAAAUGUAUGUUAUGUUAUUGCUUACCGUAUCUUAAACUCAACAAUCAGAGGAGCUUCCCGAACUCCGCGUUCCCACCCGAAGGUUGUGUUAUGUGUUUGGGGAGUCUGAUAAGGAAGUGAUAAUAAACCAGACGGAAGGAAUAUGUCAACUUGUCCUCAGUUCCACUUCUCCUUUGUUGUUGUGUGUGUGUGUGAUUAAGCUUUCAAUAAAAGGCUGGACCAAAGGGGUGCUCGGCGGAAUGUCUUGGAGGUCGUCGUGUUCAGAGCAUAGGCGACUGAGCUUCCCCUUUGGCCAAAGCUUUGGUCAAAGAUACUACGUUGUCUGUGAUUCAUUUCUCGCCUCCUUGACCGUGAUAGAGAGGAAAAAACCUAUCAUAACUUGGUGCCGUGACCCGGAUCCCAACAUACCCAUCGGCUGGAUUUUUCUUUUUCCUGCGGAGCCACUGACACCUGUGCAAGGCCCCGACUGAUCAUCGGAUUAAGAGACCGCUCAGCAGUGGAUAAUAAUUUCUGCAGAGAGGAGAUCCAGUCGUGGAUUGACGGGAUCCGGCGGAUCGGAAGACAGAGGGAGACUGACCCAGACAAAGUCAGCGACUGGGUCUUCAUCCGCGUCAUCAAGAAAAAGACGUGGAGCGACGCUCGCUGGGAGGGACCAUUCCAAGUCCUUCUGACGACUGCAACCGCUGUAAAGAUAGCCGAGAGGACCACCUGGAUACAUCUCUCCCAUUUCAAACUGUUCCCUACAGAAAUCCCGGACCAGUGCCCUGAUCCCGAGACGACCACGAGCAGAGGGGAAGACUGACUUCAAAGGGGGCUGUCCGCUUAAAAGACAGCCAUCUCAACGUCAGUGAAGAAACCAACAAUCCCUGCUCUUAGGUGUCGCCUCGGGUGAUGGAGCGAGAGGUCCCGAGGAACUCAAACGAGAGGAGCAAGGGAGAAGGAGCGGAAAGAAGACCCUCCAGACCGCGUACACUCAUAUGUAUGUUGACAUGGGAAGACCUGUCAAUGCUCCCGUUUAAGAAAAUAUAACGUAAACUUUUGGUUUAAGCUUGUAUGACAUAAUUGUGUAAAACUCCUCACAAGGAACCAAACGGACAAUUAUUGAUGUGAAGCUGCUGACUAAAAAGUUUAAUUCCCAAAGAGAUUGGUGUGGUAUUACUAACAAAUUAUGUGUAAGAAAAAAAAGAGAAUAAUCAUGAUUCUGCUUGGACUGCUUAACCCAACUACGUAAAUCACAUGCUGCUUAGAAAUUAGACAAAUAAAAUGAGUGCCCUUAUUGACCAUGUUUAAAUAAUAAGCAAUAGCAUAAACAGGAGGGAACUGACAGAGAUAUAAAUGUAUGUUAUGUUAUUGCUUACCGUAUCUUAAACUCAACAAUCAGAGGAGCUUCCCGAACUCCGCGUUCCCACCCGAAGGUUGUGUUAUGUGUUUGGGGAGUCUGAUAAGGAAGUGAUAAUAAACCAGACGGAAGGAAUAUGUCAACUUGUCCUCAGUUCCACUUCUCCUUUGUUGUUGUGUGUGUGUGUGAUUAAGCUUUCAAUAAAAGGCUGGACCAAAGGGGUGCUCGGCGGAAUGUCUUGGAGGUCGUCGUGUUCAGAGCAUAGGCGACUGAGCUUCCCCUUUGGCCAAAGCUUUGGUCAAAGAUA